rnacentral:ncRNA from 1 species
GAUUAGGUGUCUUAAUCACAAGACUUAAUAGGGAAGUUGGUGCAAAUCCAACGCGGUCCCGCCACUGUAAAUGGGAGCUCUCUUAUAUCAAGCCACUUUUCAAUUGAAGGGGAAGGCAUGGGAGAGUAAUGAUCAUGAGCCAGGAGACCUGCCUAUUCUUUU